rnacentral:rRNA from 1 species
CUACGGGUGGCAGCAGUGGGGAAUAUUGGACAAUGGGGGAAACCCUGAUCCAGCAAUGCCGCGUGUGUGAAGAAGGCCUGCGGGUUGUAAAGCACUUUCGGUUGGGAGGACUGCUUCUAGCACUAAUAUUGUUGGAAGUUGACGUUACCUUCAGAAGAAGCACCGGCUAACUCCGUGCCAGCAGCCGCGGUAAUACUGGAGGGUGCAAGACGUUAAUCGGAAUUACUGGGCGUAAAGCGCGCGUAGGCGGCUAGAUCAGUCGGGUGUGAAAGCCCCGGGCUUAACCUGGGAACUGCAUCCGAUACUGUCUAGCUUGAGUAGAGGAGAGGAGAGUGGAAUUCCACAUGUAGCGGUGAAAUGCGUAGAUAUGUGGAGGAACACCAAUGGCGAAGGCAGCUCUCUGGCCUGAUACUGACGCUGAGGUGCGAAAGCGUGGGGAGCAAACAGGAUUAGAUACCCGAGUAGUC